CUCUUUCUGAUUGUCCAGUUGCAUUUUAGUAAGCUCUUUUUGAUUCUCAAAUCCGGCGUCAACCAUACCAGCAGAGGAAGCAUCAGCACCAGCACGCUCCCAAGCAUUAAGCUCAGGAAAUGCAGCAGCAAGAUAAUCACGAGUAUCCUUUCCUUUAUCAGCGGCAGACUUGCCACCAAGUCCAACCAAAUCAAGCAACUUAUCAGAAACGGCAGAAGUGCCAGCCUGCAACGUACCUUC
rnacentral:rRNA from 1 species